GCACGGAGUUAGCCGGAGCUUACAAACAGUACCGUCAUCAUAAGAGAUAUUAACUCUUACUUAUUCUUCCCGUUCUUGCGAAGUUUACAUCCCGAGGGAUUUCAUCCUUCACGCGGCGUUGCUGGGUCAGGCUUUCGCCCAUUGCCCAAAAUUCCCGACUGCUGCCUCCCGUAGGAGUCUGACCCGUAUGUCAGUGUCAGUGUGGCCGACCGCCCUCUCAGGCCGGCUACAGAUCAUCGCCUUGGUAAGCCGUUACCCUACCAACUAGCUAAUCUGCCGCAGGCUCCUCUUCAGACGCGAGGUCUUGCGAUCCCCCGCUUUAACAACUGUCACCAUUAGGUGCCGCUGCAUUAUGCGGUAUUAGCAACCGUUUCCGGUUGUUAUUCCCCAUCCAAAGGUAGAUUACCUACGUGUUACUCACCCGUGCGCCACUCUACUCGCCCCCCGAAGGGGACUUUCGCGUUCGACUUGCAUGUCUGAGGCACGCCGCCAGCGUUGAUU
rnacentral:rRNA from 1 species